UUCUAUGAUGAAAUCGUUUAUAGGAAUAGCCGUCUGAUGCGAUAACUGACGAUGGAAAAACGUACUGAGA